rnacentral:lncRNA from 1 species
GGAGGAUAAGAUGGUGAUGGAAGAUGAAAUGCAGAUGGAGGAAGAGAUGUUGAUGGAUGAUGAGAUGCAGAUGGAGGAUGAGAUGCAAUAACACGUUCAGAAGAAACAUGAACAAAAGGAACAAAGGCAGGUAACGCAAUAUGAGAAAAGAAAUCAAACAUAGAGGAGUUAGAAUCAUGAAAUGGAAAAACUUUUUCAUGGAAAAC